CCUACGGGAGGCUGCAGUGGGGAAUAUUGGACAAUGGGGGGAACCCUGAUCCAGCGACGCCGCGUGAGUGAAGAAGUAUCUCGGUAUGUAAAGCUCUAUCAGCAGGGAAGAAAGAAAUGACGGUACCUGACUACGAAGCCCCGGCUAACUACGUGCCAGCAGCCGCGGUAAUACGUCGGGGGCAAGCGUUAUCCGGAUUUACUGGGUGUAAAGGGAGCGUAGACGGCUGAGCAAGUCUGAAGUGAAAGGCGGGGGGCCAACCCCCGGACUGCUUUGGAAACUGUAUAGCUAGAGUGCCGGAGAGGUAAGUGGAAUGCCUAGUGGAGCGGUGAAAUGCGUAGAUAUUAGGAGGAACACCAGUGGCGAAGGCGGCUUACUGGACUUUAACUGACGUUGAGGCUCGAAAGCGUGGGGAGCAAACAGGAUUAGAUACCCUUGUAGUC
rnacentral:rRNA from 1 species